GACAGAGGGUGCAAACGUUGUUCGGAAUUACUGGGCGUAAAGCGCGUGUAGGCAGCUUAGCAAGUCGGGUGUGAAAGCCCUGGGCUCAACCUAGGAAGUGCACUCGAAACUGCUGAGCUGGAGUCCUGGAGAGGAAGGCGGAAUUCUCGGUGUAGAGGUGAAAUUCGUAGAUAUCGAGAGGAACACCGGUGGCGAAGGCGGCCUUCUGGACAGUGACUGACGCUGAGACGCGAAAGCGUGGGGAGCAAACAGG
rnacentral:rRNA from 1 species